GAUUCGUUCUGCUCUGUCUCUCAGAGUCACCAGUGGGACUGAGCUCAGUGGCCUGCAGUGGUGACCCUCUUGGUGAACCCCUUACUGGCUUCCUUGCCUUCCUUGUUUCCUGUCUCACUCUAUCUGGCACUCCUGGGAUCACCUCCCUUACCAAACCCUCACACCCACAUCCUCAUCCCAGGGUCUUGCCCUGACGCCCCUGUCCCCACUGUCCUGUGAUGCACCUUCUCCUUCCAUCUCCUUGGGCCUCUGGUGAGCCUGGGUACCCAGGGUGCUCUCCUUGGCCCCUGGCACAGAUAGGAGGCAUCUCCUUAGGAAUGCGCAAAGGACCUCGAAUGUGGUGCCAUAUGCGACACACCACAGCACAGGGCAUGGCAUGGAUAGAGGAGCAGGAAAAGCCAAGAGCAGGACAGUCCCAAAGGAGAUGGAGCCCCGGAGCACGGAGGUGGCACCAGAGCCAUGCCUAGUGGUGUUCAGAACAGAGGAGUGGUCAUUUUGCAUACAGAGAGGGGGACAGAAGUGUCAGGCUCUGUCCAGAGAGAAUUGCUGGUGGUGCAGGGGUUAGCUCUGAAAAUGGAAUACUUGAAUGAGUAAAACCUUAUGGAACAUCUCAAGGUGGAAGAAAAAGCCCAGGAUCAAAAUAACGGGUUUUGUCUGCAAUUAUGAGUGUUGGUGGGUAGCAUGUUUCAAGGUGAGAAGGGGGCUUCCUCAUUUUUCAAGGCCUGACUUGUUCACUUUCAACAGUGGCAGCAGGGAGCCAGCAGGUGGCAGUGUGUGCUCAGAGUGGGGUUGGUGGGCGUGGCAGAGCCAGCCUUGGCCUGUCCAGCAGGGACAUGGGCUGAAGAACCAGAAGGAUGAGCCUAUCUCACAGUCUUUCCCCCUGCUGCACCCUCCUUUGGGACUGCACCCCGCUUUAAAGGCAUCUGGGGGAUCUAGGACUAUGUUAAUAGGCCAUUUGAGUUUUGCAUUACACCCCACUUUCAAGGCACUUGGGGGUCUAGGACUAGUGGGUUCUAUUUCGGUUCUGAUGGGAGGGAAAUAUGACAGAGGAAGGGGUCCAGGCUCUGUCUGCUGAGAUCAAUAACCAAAGCCAUGGUCUUGUGGAGGGCAUGGAAAGGAAGAGGGGAAUUCCUGCCGAGGGUGAGACGGCAGCUCAUUUCAGUCUCAUUGCCAUUUUCCUCUCUUUCCUGAUAGUACAAACCAUCAGGGUGCUACAAGCAGCCACUGCUAGAGUAAAACAUGCAGUCUCUGAAGUUCGUAGAGGUCCUGAUGCUGACGGCCCAUCCUCGUGACAUUAAACCACCCGUGUCUCAGAGAAAUGAUGCCAACUUGCAGUGCGGUUAAAAAAAAAAGGUGACUCCUGUAAAGCACUGACUAUCCAGAUACCCUCAUCAAAUGGGAAAUAACAAGGCUCCAGUGAUGCUUAAUCUUGAGAGGUAAUGGGUAGGGAUUGUUCGCCGGAGGUGUAUUUUUGUUGCGAUUUAGUGUUUCUUUUCCUUACAAGUUUCAAAAGGUAUAAACCCUAUUCAGGAGGCUGAGGUGAGAGGAUCACUUGAGACCAGGAGUUUGAGACUGGCCUGGGCAACAGAGUGAGACCCUGUCUUCACAAAGUUAAAAAUAAAAAAUUAGCAGGGUGUGGUGGUACAUGCCUGUAGUCCCAGCUGCUUCAGAGGCUGAGGUGGGAGGAUCACUUGAAUCCAGGAGUUCAAGGCUACAGUGAGCUAUGUUUACGCCAUUGCACUUCAGCCUAGGCAAGUGAGUGGAGUGAGUCCUUGUCUGAAGAAAAAAAACAACCAAAACAAACCCUUAUGCACUCUCUCAGAGUGUUACUUCUUGCUACAUUUUAUUGAUAUGAUACAUUUAUUUUGAACACAGGAAAGGUACAUUGUUGCUUGCCUAGUCCAGGAACAAGAAAAGCUAUUCAGCUCCAUCCUUCAAACACUGACUAGUCGGUAGGAAUUUUUAUCCUUUCCCGCCCCCCAGCACUCUCUAGAGUUGCAGAAGCAGGAUGUGUUUCUUGAAAGAGUCUCAUUCCUGGAGUGCAUUUUAAAGGCUAUACAGUACAACAGACAGAUAUUUUUUGCCUAGAAAACAGUACACCGCUAAGGUGGUCAGUACAGCUUGUAAACAAGCCCCUCCCCCAGUUGGAGUCUGGGGCUCCAGGGAGGCUGCACGCAGGAUGCUACAGAGCCUCUGGGUGGGUUUCUUUCAGCUCCGCUCCAAAAAAAAUGCUCUCUCUACAGAAAAUAAAAUUCAAGAUCGCCAUCCUUGCCA